ACAGCAGCAGCCACGGGAAUACAGAGGGUGCGAGCGUUAAUCGGAUUUACUGGGCGUAAAGCGUGCGUAGGCGGCUUCUUAAGUCGGAUGUGAAAUCCCUGAGCUUAACUUAGGAAUUGCAUUCGAUACUGGGAAGCUAGAGUAUGGGAGAGGAUGGUAGAAUUCCAGGUGUAGCGGUGAAAUGCGUAGAGAUCUGGAGGAAUACCGAUGGCGAAGGCAGCCAUCUGGCCUAAUACUGACGCUGAGGUACGAAAGCAUGGGGAGCAAACAGGAUUAGAUACCCGCGUAGUCCCUGUCUCUUAUAC
rnacentral:rRNA from 1 species